UACGAAGUGGGCUAGCGUUUUUCGGAGUUACUGGGCGUAAAGCGCACGUAGGCGGAUUAGUAAGUCAGGGGUGAAAUCCCGGGGCUCAACCUCGGAACUGCCUUUGAUACUGCUGAUCUCGAGUCCGGAAGAGGUGAGUGGAAUUCCUAGUGUAGAGGUGAAAUUCGUAGAUAUUAGGAAGAACACCAGUGGCGAAGGCGGCUCACUGGUCCGGUACUGACGCUGAGGUGAGAAAGCGUGGGGAGCAAACAGG
rnacentral:rRNA from 1 species